rnacentral:rRNA from 1 species
GUUUACCGGCAUCCUAGAGAUAGGACGUCCCCUUCGGGGGCAGAGUGACAGGUGGUGCAUGGUUGUCGUCAGCUCGUGUCGUGAGAUGUUGGGUUAAGUCCCGCAACGAGCGCAACCCUUGAUCUUAGUUGCCAGCAUUCAGUUGGGCACUCUAAGGUGACUGCCGGUGACAAACCGGAAGAAGGUGGGGAUGACGUCAAAUCAUCAUGCCCCUUAUGACCUGGGCUACACACGUGCUACAAUGGGCAGAACAAAGGGCAGCGAAACCGCGAGGUUAAGCCAAUCCCACAAAUCUGUUCUCAGUUCGGAUCGCAGUCUGCAACUCCACUGCGUGAAGCUGGAAUCGCUAGUAAUCGCGGAUCAGCAUGCCGCGGUGAAAUACGUUCCCGGGCCCUUGACCCACCGAAA